GUAGUCUCGCACAGAUGCAUAUCAAUAAGCGGAGGAAAAGAAACUAACAAGGAUUCCCUCAGUAACGGCGAGUGAAGCGGGAAGAGCUCAAAUUUGAAAUCUUGAAAGGUCACCUUUCACGAAUUGUAGUUUAAAGAAGUGUUUUCUGUUACGAUCGUAAUAUAAGUUCUUUGGAAUAGGACAUCACAGAGGGUGAGAAUCCCGUCUAUGAUUGCGAUUUGUAGCUUUGUGAUACACUUUCAAAGAGUCGGGUUGUUUGGGAAUGCAGCCCAAAACGGGAGGUAAAUUUCUUCUAAGGCUAAAUAUUGGCGAGAGACCGAUAGCGAACAAGUACCGUGAGGGAAAGAUGAAAAGAACUUUGAAAAGAGAGUUAAAUAGUACGUGAAAUUGUCAAAAGGGAAGCGUUUAACACCAGUGUUGUUUUCUGAAAAUCAACCUCUGUUAGCUUUAUGCAUGUUUGUUUAGACCUAAUCAGCUAUCUUGCAUGUUCUAUUGUUUGCAGUGGUGCACUUUUCAGUUUACAGGUCAACAUCAGUUUUUUUUACCGUAAAAAAGUUAAAGAAAGGUAGCUCAUGGCUCCGGUCGUGAGUGUUAUAGUCUUUUUCCUAUGCGGUAGGAGAGACUGAGGUCUGCAGUGUAGGCUACUUGGCUAGAUACUCAGGUGCUAUGUGAUACCAUUUCAUAAACAACUUGUUGAUUAUGUUUUGUCUAUUGCAUACUCGCUUGUACUAUCAUACCUACGCUUAGGAUGUUGAGUCGUAGAGCACGCAG
rnacentral:rRNA from 1 species